rnacentral:rRNA from 1 species
UACGAGAGGCCCAAACGUUAUUCGGAAUUACUGGGCUUAAAAGAGUUCGUAGGCGGCGCAGAAAGUAGGGUGUGAAAGCCCUCGGCUCAACCGAGGAAUUGCGCUCUAAACUGCUGUGCUUGAGGGACCUAGAGGUGAGCAGAACGUGAUGGUGGAGCGGUGAAAUGCGUUGAUAGUCAGUCACGGAAUGACCGGAGGCGAAGCGGCGU